GAUGGCUAAAAAGUUGGCCAUCCUUGACCUUGAUCAAGGGCUAAGGUGUUGCACAGGCAGUUUGAACCCAAAAAGAAAUUGUCUGUGACAGCACACCUCUUUGCCUUGUGCCUUCUACUAUGUUAUUGACGUGCAAGCCUUUACAUAGUAGGACAUAUGGUAGAGAUAGACCACCAAACUUAAGAGAUGGACUGUUGGGUCCCAAAUAUAUCCAACAGUCAACCUACCAUAUCACCACUCCACAUGGUUGAGAAGUGGCAGGCAUGAAGGAAAGGGACAUAGAAAUGGUCAUGAAGGAGAAAUUUUCCCAUUCUUUAAUAUCACCUCGAAGAAAACCUUCAAAACCAACCAAACUCUAUGGAAUGGCUGAUCAUAAUCCAGCUGCCUUCAUUCCUCCAAACAGGAUGAUUAUACCUUCCACCUUCGCAGU